UACAUCUUUUGCUUCUUUUAUGUCCAAAUUUACUCUAAUGGUAGUUGUCAGGCCGUAGAUGGGCGUGUGGAGAAUAGACUUAGGCGGUGAAGAUUUUCUGAAUAUGUAUGUAUUAUAGUUUGUGGUUUUAUUUGUAAUUUUGCUUUCUCUUUGUUCAUAAUUGUGGUUAGAAUUCAUAGUAGGAAAGUUUAUGAUGCCUAGUCUAAUUGCGAUGAGAGCUUGUGUCAAAAAUGUAAUCUUGGUUUGGUGAGCUAACUGGACUAUAGUUCAUCGUUUCCCACCAAAACCCAUAAGUUAAUAAUAAUGUUGCCUUCUAAGUUGAUAGUUUACUGUACUAUUUUUCCAACUGUAUUUGCUUAUUUAAUUAUGGAUUUCCAUUGUUUU
rnacentral:lncRNA from 1 species